UCAUAAUGGUCAUCAUCCCUUACCAACAAAAGGAAUGAGACAGACACAAACCUUGCAACAAAUCCAAAUCAAGAAAGAAAAAAUGUCACAGGAUUUGCUCCAAUACAAAAGAAAAGAUGAAAUAAAACGAAAAAAUGAAAAAGUAAAUCAAAAGCCCGCUAAGUCAAGAGCUUGAAAACAAGAUUGACUUAGGAAAAAGUUAGGGCAUCCCGGUGGGCUGUAGACCCAAAGGAUCA
rnacentral:lncRNA from 1 species